AAAGUUGUUGCAGUUAAAAAGCUCGUAGUUGAAUUUCAAGGGUUUUUUUCGUAGCUAGCCAUUGUUCCCUUUGCGGUCAAUGUGCAUUUGGCUACAGGCCCUUUUUUUCUGCUAGGAGAUGCGGCUCUUCUGCUUGUCAGCGGGGCUGCAGUUUUCCUAGCACUUUUACUUUGAAAAAAUUAGAGUGUUCAAAGCAGGCUUUUUCUUUGCCUGAAUAUCUUAGCAUGGAAUAAUAGAAUAGGACUUUGGUUCUAUUUUGUUGGUUUCUAGGACUAGAGUAAUGAUUAAUAGGGAUAGUUGGGGGCAUUAGUAUUUAAUUGUCAGAGGUGAAAUUCUUGGAUUUAGGAAAGACUAACUUCUGCGAAAGCAUUUGCCAAGGAUGUUUUCAUUAAUCAAGAACGAAAGUUAAGGGAUCGAAGAUGAUUAGAUACCAUCGUAGUCUUAACCAUAAACGAUGCCGACCAGGGAUCGGGCGCUUGUAGUUUUUCCAAAAAGACACGCCCGGCACCUUUUGAGAAAUCAAAGUUUUUGGGUUCUG
rnacentral:ncRNA from 1 species